AAACAUAUUUUACCUUUUCCACGGGAAUUAUAAUGAUCGGUCACGUAUGUUGAGGGAUAUAACAAGAAUGAAGUUCCCAACAAGCGCGAGCCGAAGCGUAACGACGUCUGCCUCAUCGCCAUCGACAUUCCCCAACCGCCGUUUCAAACAGGCGAGGCGCGUCGUCGUAGCGGUUCGGUAGGAUAUGACAUGUUACACGGAAGGGUCUUUGGAACCUCAGCAUCAUGCGUAUUUUGUACUGGAAUCUCGGGAGCAUCGAGGCAGUACUGGCCAGUACGUCGAACAACUACGUUGUGCAUAACAACGAUUGCCGUGGUGUGCGAGAGCUAGCGUUCCUUUGUUCUCCGGCUUUGCAGUUAAGAGUCUGGUGCGUAUCACUGACGAACUCAUGCGAACGACGGAACUGUGUGAGAUUGUGUGUGUACAGCUACAAAGUGCAAGUCCAAUUCUUCACAUCUCUUUGAUUCAGGAUUUGAUUGGGAAUGAUGAAAGCAAUGGUGAAGCAAAUUCUAUUAACUAUGCGCAGCCUGCUAGUAGAUAAGCUUGGCUCAGCUACAGUUGUCUUUCAUAUAAAUGAUAGCAGUUAUGUUUUCACGUUCGACUGCACUGUUUUUCAAAGUUCCUUGUUUUUUGCAUGACCGCUUAUCUUUCUUAAAUGUCACAUGGACGCGAUGUGACUCUAGAUUAAUAAAACAUGACUGUUUUACAGUAUCCACACACAACCAUGGAUAGCCUCACACAUGUGUAAAGUUACUGGUGUCUCUACAACACUGAAGAGCCAGGCAUAAACCGGAAGACGUCGCUUGGGUCUGCCAGUGAUUAGGCUGCUUCCGCAUAUAACCAUCUAUACUGCAUGAGAAACUGCGGGAUGACGGUUGCGAAGUGGCGUAGCAAUCACGUGAUUAUUAUUAUGACCAUUAUUGUCUUAUUAUGCGUCUUAUCCGUGUCACCCUAUAUUGUUAAUAAUUAGCCUAUUUAUGCUGUAAUAUCAUAUUUUGUACUAUUAGAAAGAGCGUUUCUUACAGUGCAUGUAACAUCACUGUACUUGGUUUGUGUUCAAUAAACAAGAGUUCGUUGGUACGAUGAUCUCUGUUGCAGAGUGGUAUU